AUGGAAAGAAAGACACCACUACUUCGCCUCUUUGUUGGACCGCCGGCGCGAACACAGUGGUCGGGGUGGCUGGUGGUUUCGGGAUCCCGUAGAAAAUGCGUCUUUUAUGCCUCGGGUAUUAGCCACAGCUCGUAUUCAUUCAGUAAUUCUACCCCUUCUUCAUUAUUGGACCUCGCUUCUUAAUAUUUUGACUCUUCCAUGCUGUGUCUCAGGAACCUUUUCAAUACGGUCCGGAUUGCUAGCUCCCGUUCAUAGUUCUGCUACAGACGAUACACGAGGAAGAUUUUUAUGGCGGUUCUUCCUUCUAAUUACAGGCAUAUCUAUGACUCUUUUUUACCAGAUGAAGCAGGAGGCAUCGGUCCGUAGAACCUAUAAAAAAGAGAUGGUUGUGGCGCGAAGUACUCUUGUGCACCUACGUCACUCGGCUCGCGCGCAACCCCGCCCCGUUAUGUUAUGGAAGAAUUUUGCUUCUUGCUGGGCUGGUUAUUCAGAGCCAGCAACUGGCUGCCGGAUUUCGUCCCGUCCGUAGCGCUUCGGAAGUCACUCUGGCGUGGCGCUGCUGGAUACUUCUGAUCAAUAGGAAUAGGAGGAAAAAAAAGCUUAUGAUGAGCAUCUAUUGGAGUCGAUCAUUUCCAAGAUCUAAUUCGAGUUUCUUAUUAUGUAGUGGAAACGCCUCACAAUCUUCUGUUUUACGCUUACGCUUAAGGGAAGAAAUGUUCUUGGUGGAUGCAGGCCUUGGUACCCCCAAAAUUUGUAUGCAAGAUGAGCUUACAGGACUGCCAAUCAAGCGAGCCACCAGGUUUGAGAAUAAGGUGGGAUCCAAGAAUGUAGUGGCUGGUGAAUCACUGAUCAAAAAGCGGAUUUUUGAGAGAUUCUUCAUCGAUCUAGUGGCCGGUGAAUCACUGAUCAAAGAGCGAGCAGCCGCCAGGUUUAAUGAUUUUGUGGGAUCCCUGGAUGUAGCGGCUGGCGAACCGCUUCUUCUUCCACAAAGAUUCAGACAAAACCGAGCUUGGAUAGAACUGAAGAAGAUUUGGCGAACGAAGAAAAAGGUAAAAGGGUUUAAAAUUAAGAAAAUCAAAGGAGGUUAUUCAGUAGCCAUCGCAGGUUUCAUUACUUUUCUUCCAUUCAAAUUCAAAAAAGCUCUUAAAAAAAAAA